rnacentral:snoRNA from 10 species
CCAAGUGAUGAUAACUUUCACAGACCUGUUCUGAAUGACUGUGAAUGCACCAUAUUUAUUCUGAAU